GGGACCCGCACAAGCGGUGGAUGAUGUGGUUUAAUUCGAUGCAACGCGAAGAACCUUACCACCUUUGACAUGUACGGAAUCCUUUAGAGAUAGAGGGGUGCUCGAAAGAGAGCCGUAACACAGGUGCUGCAUGGCUGUCGUCAGCUCGUGUCGUGAGAUGUUGGGUUAAGUCCCGCAACGAGCGCAACCCUUGUCAUUAGUUGCUACAUUUAGUUGGGCACUCUAAUGAGACUGCCGGUGACAAGCCGGAGGAAGGUGGGGAUGACGUCAAGUCCUCAUGGCCCUUAUAGGUGGGGCUACACACGUCAUACAAUGGCUGGUACAGAGGGUUGCCAACCCGCGAGGGGGAGCUAAUCCCAUAAAACCAGUCGUAGUCCGGAUCGCAGUCUGCAACUCGACUGCGUGAAGUCGGAAUCGCUAGUAAUCGCGGAUCAGAAUGUCGCGGUGAAUACGUUCCCGGGUCUU
rnacentral:rRNA from 1 species